AAAGACAUUGACGAGAUGAUUAAAAAAAAAAAAUUAAAGAAAAAGGGUUUUUUUCUUUUUGUAUAAGGGUUUAUUUUUCUUAUUCUUUCUUAAUUAUUUACAAAUAUGAAUUUAGAGGGGAGAGGGGAAAAAAGGAAAAAAUCAAUUACAAAGGAAAUAAGAAGAUUAUAUUUAUAGAGGAGUGAUAAUUGCAGUCACAUAAUUGGUUAGGAUUCCUAAAAUUACAUGUUAGUUACUCAGGAAAGAUUAUCAAUUUUCUUUCUAUCUAUUUUUGUUUAUUAUGGAUUAUUUUCUUUCUUUUUUAAUUGUCUUUUAACUAUAUAUAGAGACUGUGUAUAAUAAUAAUAAUUAUUAUUAUUAUAUAACAUGUAAUCUCUCUAUUAUGAAUCCAUAUAUAUAUAUAUAUAUAUAUACACCCAUACACAAAAAGGAAAGCUAGUGUGUUUGUAUAUAUAGAUACUCAAUCUUUAUAUAUAGUGUAGGUGUAUAGUGUGAGGAAAAAAAAAAAAAAAAGAAGGUAUAUAUAUAUAUAUAGGACAUCCAAACAAUCGUUCUGCAAUUGCAAUUAGCACUCCUCAUAUUUGUAUUUUUAUAUAUCUAUCUAUAUCUAUAUUAUUCUAAAAGUGUAAGUAAUUUCUUAACACUUUUAGAUUUUAAAAAAAAUAUAUGAUAUUAAAAGUGAGUAAUUAAUUUAAAAUUUAAAUUCACUUUAAAUAUGAAGAGAAUAUUUAGUAUAGAAGUUGAAGGACCAAUUUUCAAUUUCAAAUUUUGCUCAUUCUUUAAAGUCUCAAUUCUUGUUCAUGCUUUAAAGAUAAUGCAAGUCAUCAUUUAUGAUAAAAUUAAAUCAACAAAUCUCCCAAUAAGAAGGUUGUGUGAUCUAUACAUUAUAUAUCCCUUAAUGGGUGGGCCAAACCAAAUUCGACUUUUUUUUGGUAUUUUGUUUUCUUAUUUUAUACUGACGUAGUUUAUUUAGUCUCUUGCGAUUUUAAUUUUUUUUUUUAAAUAAAAAAUAUAUGAAAUUAGGAAAAUAGUAUUUAAUAUAGAAUUUGAAGGGGCAACCUUCCCAAUUUCAGUUUUUAUUCAUUCUUUAAGGAUGAUACACAAUGGACCAUUUUAAUCAUUGUACUAAUUGUUGUUUCACUAUUCAAAUUUCAGUUAUAUUUGAAAAUUUAAUUAAUUUUAUGAUUGUAUUUUCAUUUAUAACUCAUGCAAUCUCCAUUGCAAACAUUCGUGUUGUAAGUCAUGGUUUAUUUCCUUAGAUCUUAUAUUUUAUUUUGAUUCUCUUGGACAUAAAUGUUGUCUUUAUGACUAUCGGGAGGGAAAAAACAACUGCAAUUUCAUUGCAAGAGAUAAAAAUAUCAUGAGACAAGAUUGAAACAAUACAAAAAUUACGAGAACCUCUUGCAAAGAGCUCGAAAAGAAGGGAAAAAACGAGACAAGAUUGAAAUAAUACAAAAAUUACGAGAACCUCUUGCAAAGAGCUCAAAAAGGAGACAUUGCUUCUACAAAUGAAUAUGGAUCUUGUUAACCAACCCUCAAGGUUUUAAUUGGAAUUCUGGAGGGGAAGUGGAUAAUGAGGAUUAACGAUGGCAACUCAAAAAAAUGGUAAGAAAGUACAGAUGACUCCAAAAGAAGUACUGUUCCAAAAAAGACCACUACUUUGGGACAAUCCUACAGCAUGUAGCUCUACUUCACCACCAUUUUAUAUAUGGGAAAGGAUAUUGUUUGAGUUGAAUCAUAAAAUUGAUAUUGGUUUCAAAGUUCUUUUACAAGAAAUACAAAGGUUGACUGAGUUAGUAGAAGCAAUCGAGACAUUGCACAAUAGUGUCAUCCACAUAAGUUCUGAUGAUAGUGAAGAGGAGGAUCCAUCAGAGGAAUAUUAUCCAUGUUCUUAAACAAAAUGGAAUGAUCAAGACUUUUUUUAAUGUAAUCUAUAUUAUGUUUUAUUAAAUGUAAUGUAAAAUAAAUGUUAAUUGAUUAAUUGUGU